UACGUAGGGGGCUAGCGUUGUCCGGAUUUAUUGGGCGUAAAGAGCGUGUAGGCGGCCAGGUAGGUCUGCUGUGAAAACUCGAGGCUCAACCUCGAGACGUCGGCGGAAACCAUCUGGCUAGAGUCCGGAAGAGGAGAGUGGAAUUCCGGGUGUAGCGGUGAAAUGCGUAGAUAUCCGGAGGAACACCAAUGGCGAAGGCAGCUCGCUGGGACGUUACUGACGCUGAGACGCGAAAGCGUGGGGAGCAAACAGG
rnacentral:rRNA from 1 species